rnacentral:rRNA from 1 species
AUUGAACGCUGGCGGCAGGCCUAACACAUGCAAGUCGAGCGGUUGAGGUAGCUUGCUACCGAUGCAGCGGCGGACGGGUGAGUAAUACAUGGGAAUCUGCCUGGUAGUGGGGGACAACGGUUUCGAAAGGAACGCUAAUACCGCAUACGCCCUACGGGGAAAGGGGGGAUCGCAAGACCUCUCGCUAACAGAUGAGCCCA